UACGUAGGGGGCAAGCGUUGUCCGGAAUCAUUGGGCGUAAAGAGCGUGUAGGCGGCUUGGUAAGUCCGCUGUAAAAGUCCAGGGCUCAACCCUGGAAAGCCGGUGGAAACUACCAAGCUUGAGUCCGGAAGAGGCGAGUGGAAUUCCUGGUGUAGCGGUGAAAUGCGCAGAUAUCAGGAGGAACACCAAUGGCGAAGGCAGCUCGCUGGGACGGUACUGACGCUGAGACGCGAAAGCGUGGGGAGCGAACAGG
rnacentral:rRNA from 1 species